rnacentral:rRNA from 1 species
UCGAGGGGCAGCAUGAUUUGUAGCAAUACAGAUUGAUGGCGACCGGCGCACGGGUGAGUAACGCGUAUGCAACUUACCUAUCAGAGGGGGAUAGCCCGGCGAAAGUCGGAUUAAUACCCCAUAAAACAGGGGUCCCGCAUGGGAAUAUUUGUUAAAGAUUCAUCGCUGAUAGAUAGGCAUGCGUUCCAUUAGGCAGUUGGCGGGGUAACGGCCCACCAAACCGACGAUGGAUAGGGGUUCUGAGAGGAAGGUCCCCCACAUUGGUACUGAGACACGGACCAAACUCCUACGGGAGGCAGCAGUGAGGAAUAUUGGUCAAUGGCCGAGAGGCUGAACCAGCCAAGUCGCGUGAAGGAAGAAGGAUCUAUGGUUUGUAAACUUCUUUUAUAGGGGAAUAAAGUGGAGGACGUGUCCUUUUUUGUAUGUACCCUAUGAAUAAGCAUCGGCUAACUCCGUGCCAGCAGCCGCGGUAAUACGGAGGAUGCGAGCGUUAUCCGGAUUUAUUGGGUUUAAAGGGUGCGUAGGUGGUGAUUUAAGUCAGCGGUGAAAGUUUGUGGCUCAACCAUAAAAUUGCCGUUGAAACUGGGUUACUUGAGUGUGUUUGAGGUAGGCGGAAUGCGUGGUGUAGCGGUGAAAUGCAUAGAUAUCACGCAGAACUCCGAUUGCGAAGGCAGCUUACUAAACCAUAACUGACA